CUCCAUUGCCUCCAUAAUUACAAGAUGCUCUUAGCCCGACUCCCACGGACUCCCAUCACCCAGCGCUCGGCUCUCUCGGUGGGGAGGAGGGCAGAGAAUGUUUCACUGUCCCCCUGUCUUCUGUGGCAUCCUUUGCCUUGCAACCACAGCCCACCUAGCCCAGGCCAAGGGAGUCCGACCCCCACCCCGAAGCACAGGGAAGUUGCUGCCCUUUCCCGCAGUGACAGAAAUCCUCUCAAGGGCUCUGGAAGACAAGGAUGCGGCCAUCCCUGGAGACGCCAAGGACCAUCAUGUGAGGUGGCUUUUUAUCCUCCUCGCCCCUACUGGUACAGAUGAGAAGAAACUGCGACUCAGAAGUUAAGCAUUUUCCCAUGGUCACUGGGCUACACAGAAAGGCCAGGAUUUGAACCCAAGCUUCUGCUUCCACCCAUCUUCAUUAGGAGUCAAGUUAUAUUGUGGGUCUCAACCAUGGCUGCUCACUGGAAUUACCUGGAAGCUUCACAAGUACUGAUGUCUGUGUCCCCAGCCCAGAGGUUCUGGUGUCAUUGUCUGGGCGUGGCCUAGCCUUAGUUCUGCAAAAGCUCCCUAGGCAGUUCCACUGGAUGAAGUUGAGAACCACUGAUACAGAGUGACCUCACCUCCCCACCCUCCAUGGAGGUGCUAUGGUUUGAAGAGCAAAACUCAUGUUGAAAUUUAACUGUUCUUGCACCUCCUGCAGAGCCUGGGAUCUCCCAGUCCAGCCAAGGAUGUUAGAUCUCAUGGUCCUAAGUACUUCGUUGACACCCCAUUCCCCUCAGUAAAAUAGUUUGACCCCUUCUCUGCCAAAAAAAAAAAAAAAGAAAUUUAAUUGCCAUGAUGAUGGCAUUAAAAGGUGGGACCUUUAAGAGGUGAUCAGGUUAUGAGUGUUCAGCCCUCAUGAAUGGAUUAAUGCCAUUAUCUUGGGAGUGGAUUAGUUAUCCCAGGAAUGGAGUUCCUGAUAAAAAGGAUGACUUUGGCCUGAUUUCCUGUCUCUGUCUCAUGUGCUGGGUUCUGCCUUCUGCCAUAGGAUGACCCUUGCCAGAUGCCAGCGCCAUGUCCUUAGACUUCCCAGCCUCUGGAACUGUGACCCUAAUGAAUUACUGUUCAUUAUAAACUACGCAGUCAGUGGUAUUCUGUUAUAGCAAGCAGAAAAUGGGUGAGGACAGUGGGCAAGGGUAUAAUGAACAACCUUUAAAGAAAGAUACCAUUAAUAAAAAGCUAACAUUCAGCUA